UACGAAGGGGGCUAGCGUUGCUCGGAAUCACUGGGCGUAAAGGGUGCGUAGGCGGGGCUUUAAGUCUGGGGUGAAAUCCUGGAGCUCAACUCCAGAACUGCCUUUGAUACUGAAGAUCUUGAGUUCGGGAGAGGUGAGUGGAACUGCGAGUGUAGAGGUGAAAUUCGUAGAUAUUCGCAAGAACACCAGUGGCGAAGGCGGCUCACUGGCCCGAUACUGACGCUGAGGCACGAAAGCGUGGGGAGCAAACAGG
rnacentral:rRNA from 1 species